UGCCAGCAGCCGCGGUAAGACGUAGGACGCGAGCGUUAUCCGGAAUUACUGGGCGUAAAGGGCCAGCAGGCGGCUAGGUAAGUUGUGCGUGAAAGCCUCGUGCUCAACGCGAGGAAGCCGGACAAUACUGUCUAGCUAGAGGGCAUCAGAGGGGAGUGGAAUUCCCGGAGUAGCGGUAAAAUGCGCAGAUAUCGGGAGGAACACCGAUGGCGAAGGCAACUCCCUGGGGUGUACCUGACGCUAAGUGGCGAAAGCUAGGGGAGCGAACAGGAUUAGAGACCCUGGUAGUCCUAGCUGUAAACGCUGGGUGCUAGGUGUGGGGCGUAGAAGCUCUGUGCCGGAGCGAACGCGAUAAGCACCCCGCCUGGGAAUUACGGUCGCAAGGCUAAAACUCAAACGAAUUGACGGGGCCCCGCACAAGCAGCGGAGCGUGUGGUUCAAUUCGAUGCUACACGAAGAACCUUACCUGGGUUUGACAUGUACGUGGUAGAGAAGCGAAAGCGGAUUGACCCUUCGGGGAGCGUACACAGGUGCUGCAUGGCUGUCGUCAGCUCGUGCCGUGAGGUGUCGGGUUAAGUCCCGUAACGAGCGCAACCCUUGCCCUUAGUUACAAGUGUCUAGGGGGACUGCCGGCGGGAAGCCGGAGGAAGGUGGGGAUGACGUCAGGUCAGCAUGGCCCUUAUGUCCAGGGCUACACACACGCUACAAUGGUCAGUACAAAGGGUAGCGAAGCCGCGAGGUGGAGCGAAUCUCAGCAAAGCUGAUCGUAGUUCGGAUUGCAGGCUGCAACCCGCCUGCAGAAGCUGGAGU
rnacentral:rRNA from 1 species